GCGGCCAUCGUAUAAUGGUUAUUACCUCAGCUUCCCAAGCUGAUGACGCUGGUUCGAUUCCCGCUGGCUGCUCCA
rnacentral:tRNA from 1 species